GACUCCCUCGGCGAAGAGGCCCCCGCGGCCGGCCGAGCUCCGUGGACUCCGCAGGAGCGGCCCCGCCCCUCACACUACGCCGGGCGGUUCCCUCCGAGCCCCGCCGGGACAGCGUCGACGCUGCACACACCCCAGAGAAGCCAGAGGACGGCGCCUGCACCGGACACAGCGCAACACCGGCACAGCACAGCGUCCACACCACAAGUGAGCCUAGGCAGCUGUGUCUACACUGCAGACGCCGGCCUGAGCGCACGCGUCUUCAUGCAGGCUCAGCAGAGGGGGAAGAACACCUCCCCGAGGGUGGAAGAGCUGUGGCCAGCAGACAGAUGGACGGACAGACGGACACAGGCGAACAGGCAGCGCAGGGGUGAGCCGAGCCGGUCAAAUGGGCCAGGACCCGGCUCCGUGUGCCCUUCACAGUCAGGAUGACAGAACCCCGUGGAAUAUGAAAAAUGCCGGGAGACAGACCCCGGAGGCACAGCCCCUCACCGGGCAGGGAGGCCGCCAGAGGGAAGCGCAGCUCCAGACCACCAGAGCCCCAUCUGAUUAAGGCAUCGAGAUCAAAGCUCAGCAGAGGGCGGCUCAUGAUGGGCAGCUCAAAAAAAUAAACCCACCAAUCAGAGUCCGUGUUCCUGUGACCGGUGGCGGGUUCGGAUGCAGAGGAGGCUUCUCAGUGCGGUUCCUCCUCAUCUCGGAACCUGCCACCCCACUCAAGCCCGACAUAGGCCAGGACAGCCAGGACGGCCGCAGCGAGGGCAACACGAGGCCCGUCGACAUCCUGAGGCCCCCGGGCCUGUCGCCGAGUCCCGGCUUGGGGAGUGUCCCCGGGCCACACUGGUCCUGCUCCCGGCUGUGUGGUCUCCCAGGCGCGUGGCUCCUCCCUCCGGGGCCCAGGCUCUGGUGUGAGCCACUUUUUCCAUAGGAGACGCCCAUACUUGCAGCUCACGCCUUUGUCUGGUGCCCUGGCCUCACACCUAUAGGAAUUGGGUACCUGGGGGCCUCUUCAUCUUUACUUGUCUCAGCUUAGAGAAGCCCAGCUACACUUCCUCCAUGCCUGGAUUCAUGCACGGCCCCACAGGGUGAGGCCUGGACACCCUCACGGGCACUGGGGCUCCACGGAUGCAGAAGGCAGCCUGGCCCGGUAGCUCGGGGGUCUGAGAUGGAGGUGGAGUAAGACAGAGUGACAAAGGCUGCGUCCUGGAGGCAGGCUCGGAGCCUCCCUGAGCUCAGAGAGCCCGCGUGCGCCAGGAAGCCACACCUGCAGGACCCGAGUCGGAACUCAGAGGCUGGUACAGCCGCGGUGCUUGUCCUGUAGAUAAGAAUGGCCUCCUCUGGCGGCCAAAGUUAAUUAAACUGACAAUCUUGAUAAGUUGCACAGUUACCUGCUCGGGGACAAAGAAGAUGGGAGCCUUGUUUGUGGUUUCUUCUUGUUCUUUCCUGUGCCCCACAGUCAUUUUAAAAUUAAAUUAAAUGGCUUAUCUGCACU
rnacentral:lncRNA from 10 species